CUUGAAGGAGAUAGAGCUGAAUUCAGUAAAAACAGAGAAGAAAUGGAGGAAAAAGGUGAAAUAUCUAUGCCUAAAUGCUUGGGAAAUAUCCGACUGGAUUUUGGAAAUACCCAUCAGGGAAGCAAUGGAUGUUCUGGACUAUGGGGAAAGUGAGCCAGGCAGGAAAUGUUUGCUUAGCUUUCUCCAAAAAAACAUACGAAUGAGAUGAUAUGCAAGCUGGAGUUUGAAGAACUCUGAAAGGUGGCAGUAAUGAAAAUCAAAUGGAUGCAAGAAGAAGACGUGGCGUAGGAAGUGAAGGGCCGACUCAAAGGGUUGAUCAGCUUCCUGUCUCAUCGAUAACUCAAUCAGUGCGGACACAUCAUCACCAGCAGCAGCAGCAGAGUGAUUACAGGGACUACUCCAGGUCUGUGCGGAUGAGUAACUACACAACUUGCUUUAUAUUGCGUUCACUAAUUACAGGACUAGGGUAAAAUGUGUCCUCCUGCAAGUGUGAAAUUAGCAUUCAAUGUCCUUCAGAAGACUCCCCUCCUUCAGGUGUAACAGCCUGAGAGAAAGUACAUUUUAUAUGAAGUCAUACGUUAAUAUUUCACGCGGUCAGAGAUUAAUGAAGGGCGCCGUGUAACAAUUACUCCCUGACGCUCCGAACUCAGUGUUCCUGAGCAGAGAGCUGGAGCUCGCUGUGAUGGAUGGAGACUGUGUGUUCAGAAAUCCUGCGUGAUGGAUGAUCAGGUCCUCUGAAGGGCGGCCGGUUACUGCGUCCUCAGGAGUCCAGGUGUUGGUGCAGAAUAUCAGGUGGAAAGAGAGGGGGAAGGGAAAGAAGGUAGAGGCGUGGAGAGGAACAUGUGGAGUUGUUGAGCUGCAAAGAAAAGUACUUCUACUAAAAACUACGAACACUACCUCAAUAUUCGCUUCUUGCACUUGAACUGUGGACCCUCUAUUUCCCAGGCUCUGCAGACGGAGCCAUCCUAAUUUAAGUUUCCCCUCCUUUAAAUCCAUUCUUUAUCUCCUUAAAUUUCCACCUUCUGAGCUCCUUAUACUUCGGAGCCGCAGCACACAAGUUUUUCAUCAAACGGCGGCAGAAUUUCAAGCCAGACAAGAGCAUGUGAGUGAGUGACAGCUGCUGAUCCCACCACCCAUCCUGUUUCAGAUGACAGAGGUGCAUUAACAUGGACUGUGUAAAAUAAUAAAUUGGAGGCGAAGGAGUGCUCUCACGGGGGAGAGAUGGGAGGAAAAGUGGACACAAUUACACUCUCAGGCUGCUUUCGGAGAAGUGUCUCUUUUACUUAGAGACCCCGUUAUCAUAUCUCCUCUUCAUUCCUCUGCAGGCUUUUUACACGUCUGAGAUUGCCUCCUUGUUAGCCAGGGAGAGCAGGCAGGGUAAAGGCCGGGCUGUGUGAGCAGAGAGCCGCUGCUGAGAGGAGAGGGAGUUUAAAUGAACACUUUCUGAGCUUCCUCCCAUCACUCAAACACUCUGUUGGAGAAACGUUCAGAUGCACUUUACAUCCCUCCCUUUGUCCCCUUUCUGUGUUUUGGUUAAUGAAAGUGAAUCAUUGCUCUGCGCUCGCUUCCUCUUCAAAAGGGAACAAAAAGGAACAUGCACAGAACAUGUAAUUACAGCCCUGUUGUUCGCAGGGAGUCUGAACUAUCAGAGGUGCUUUUAUCCGGACUUUUGAGGAGAUUUGCAGAGAACUGACAAUAGUUUCUGAUUACAGCUCGCUAAAGGUUAGCAUGACAUGGGCACCUUUUGUUAUGUUCUUUCCCUUAUUAGUAGUUCAACUUCACUUGAUUAUUUCCUCGUUGAAGGAGACAGAAAUAAAGUAUAUAAUAAAGGAAAUGCAUGUGUGGUUUACAAACGAUUAUUUAUGCCUCUAAAGCUGUACGACAAUUAGCAUUUAGCACAAGUAGCUUAAAACUGCACCAAAUCAUAACACAACUUGUCGCUGAAUCCUAAAUACUGCCCCUGGUUUCUGCUAUAAUAUA